UACGUAGGGGGCAAGCGUUGUUCGGAAUCACUGGGCGUAAAGGGUGCGUAGGCCGCACGGUAAGUCAGAGGUGAAAUCCCGGAGCUCAACUUCGGAAUUGCCUCCGAUACUGCCGUGCUUGAGGACUGGAGAGGAGAUUGGAAUUCACAGUGGAGCAGUGAAAUGCGUAGAUAUUGUGAGGAACACUAGUGGCGAAGGCGAAUCUCUGGACAGUUCCUGACGCUGAGGCACGAAGGCCAGGGGAGCAAACGGG
rnacentral:rRNA from 1 species